AGUGGGAGAUCAGCUUCGACGCAUGAACGACAUGAGAAGCCGAUUAAAUCUUGGAAUGGAUUAGUGCUGCAAUUGAUUCUUUCCGAUGAUUUAUUAUAAGUUGUUGUUGCGUAACUAAAAUUAAUUAAUUUAUCUUGUAAUUCGGAUGGGUUUGCCUCUAAUUAAAGAAAGGAGGCAUUUGUUUAGAAAUUAAUUUAAGGUGUAAUAAUCAGCUAUGAAAGGAUAAUUUAUUGGUGGAAAUUAGAAGGGGUAAUAAUAAGGUGUUUUUUU
rnacentral:sRNA from 1 species